UCGGGGUUGAAUCUGAGAGGUUCUCCUGCGUCUGAUGUCAGUGUUAAGUGCUCUCCUAAGAAAAAGGACUAGUCCCAUUUGGCUGCUCAAGAAAUUACUGGAGGACCCAGAAUGUCUUACGGAUCCAUUGAUGCGGGCUCUUUUGGAAGCAGAAAUCCGUUUGGUGGGCCCACAAGGCAGGGAUACCAGCCAGUAGCUACGCAAAUCAGUCCCUCAGAGCUGCAAGAUGUGUUCCAGGAAACCUCCUCUAACAUCUUUCAGAUCAAUGCUAACGUGGUAACACUAGAGAAGAACCUUCAAUCGCUGGGAACAUCCAGAGACACAGCAGAGCUACGGCAGAGUUUACAUUCCACACAGCAGCAAACCAAUAAAGCCAUAACAAGCACAAGCCAACUUGUUAAACAACUCACUGACAUCAUCAGCGGGUCUUCACGGCAAGACAGGCUCCGUCUGACGAGACUCAAAACAGAGCUAUCGGACUCUGUGCAGCGAUAUGGAGACCUGCAGAAGAAAAUUGCAGAUCGUUCGAGGGCCUUGCUUCCUCCUGCACAAAAGGACAGGAAACAGAGCCUACAGACUCCAUUCAGUGAACUGGUUGAAGAGGGGCCGUUGUUCGGAGCGGGGGAGGGCAUUGAGGGUGACGGACAAGCAAUCCUGUCAGAGAUCAGUGAAGAAGAUGUGGAGAUCCUGAGGCAGAGAGAAGAAGCACUGCUGCAGAUUGAGACAGCAUUGAAGACUACAUUCAGACCACCUCAUCACAUGUGGAAUCUGCCAAUCAGGAGCUAGCAAAAGCCAGUCAUUAUCAGAGGCAGCUGAGGAGGAGGAAAUGUUAUCUGCUAAUCGCUGGAGUGCUGCUUCUUACUUUGCUUAUCAUCAUUAUUGCAGUCUCAGCCAGAAAAUGAGAUCGAGACCACAGAAAUUGCUGUUUCGACUCUGCUGUGAUCUCUCCUCAACUUCCCAGCAAAAUGAGAGUCUAUAUGUAGAGGUUCACCUGCGCUCACUUCCUCUCUUCUAAUCUAAUCUAUACUUCUGUCGGAUUUUGUGUUUUACUGUGUAUGCAUGUAUGGAAAUGUGUGUGUGUGUGUGUGUGUGUGAAUGUUCGUUAAAAGAGUCUAUUUUUAAUCAGUGCUUUGUACUGUAAUGUGCAAUUAAUUGCUCCUUACCUCUUCAAAGUGGACUUGAAUCAAAGAACAAAAUCCAAAUAGACUGGAUGUUGCUGUAGGGCGU